rnacentral:rRNA from 1 species
GUGCCAGCAGCCGCGGUAAUACGGAGGGUGCAAGCGUUAUCCGGAUUUACUGGGUUUAAAGGGUGCGUAGGUGGGUAAGUAAGUCAGUGGUGAAAUCUUCGAGCUUAACUCGGAAACUGCCAUUGAUACUAUUUAUCUUGAAUACUUUGGAGGUAAGCGGAAUAUGUCAUGUAGCGGUGAAAUGCUUAGAUAUGACAUAGAACACCAAUUGCGAAGGCAGCUUACUACACAGUUAUUGACACUGAGGCACGAAAGCGUGGGGAUCAAACAGGAUUAGAUACCCUGGUAGUCC